GCUACCAUGACUUUGAUCCCCGUCUUCAUCUGGACACUGAUCCUCUGGACUCAAGAAUGCAGAGGUCAAGUCACAGUAACUCAGACUCCUGCAGUGAAAUCUGCUCUUCCAGGAGAAACAGUCACCAUCAACUGUAGAACCAGUCCGGCCGUGUAUUAUUCCAGCUCAUAUGGCCACUACUUACACUGGUAUCAGCAGAAACCUGGAGAAGCUCCUAAACUCCUGAUUAAACUUGCCAAUCAGCUACAGUCAGGUUUUCCAGCUCGUUUCAGUGGCAGUGGAUCUGGAUCAGAUUUCACUCUGACCAUCAGUGGAGUCCAGACUGAAGAUGCAGCAGAUUACUACUGUCAGAGUUACCAUAGCAUCAGUAGUAAAGCUCUGUUCACACAGUGUUAUAUAGUCGUACAAAAACCUCCCUCAGUCAGAUUUUAGAGAGAGACUGCACUGCUGCAGCUGGGAGCGACUGCAGGUGCUGAGUUGAAGGAUGUGAUACGACACAAUGACACUCCGUUAAGGAGAGGAAACACACCACACUAACCCUCAACUUAACAUUAGAUACAGUGGGGGAAAUAAGUAUUUGAUCCCCUACAGAUGUCCUAAG